rnacentral:rRNA from 1 species
UACGGAGGGGGCUAGCGUUGUUCGGAAUUACUGGGCGUAAAGCGCACGUAGGCGGUUAUUCAAGUCAGGGGUGAAAGCCCGGGGCUCAACCCCGGAACGGCCUUUGAAACUAGAUAGCUAGAGUCUUGGAGAGGUUAGUGGAAUUCCGAGUGUAGAGGUGAAAUUCGUAGAUAUUCGGAAGAACACCAGUGGCGAAGGCGACUAACUGGACAAGUACUGACGCUGAGGUACGAAAGCGUGGGGAGCAAACAGG